GAUGAAGAACGCAGCGAAAUGCGAUAAGUAAUGCGAAUUGCAGAAUUCAGUGAGUCAUCGUAUCUUUGAACGCACAUUGCGCCCUGUGGUAUUCCGCAGGGCAUGCCUGUUCGAGCGUCAUUUCAACCCUCAAGCCCCGCUUGGUGUUGGGCCCCGCCCGCCGUGGCCGGCCCUAAAGACAGUGGCGGCGCCGCCUGGCCCUCAGCGUAGUACAGCUCUCGCUCCAGGGUCCGGCGGCCGCCUGCCAGAACCCCCCAACUCUGUGGUUGACCUCGGAUCAGGUAGGGAUACCCGCUGAACUUAAGCAUAUCAAUAAGCGGAGGA
rnacentral:misc_RNA from 1 species